AGAGUUUGAUCCUGGCUCAGGACGAACGCUGGCGGCGCGCCUAACACAUGCAAGUCGAACGAGCGAGAGAGAGCUUGCUUUCUUGAGCGAGUGGCGAACGGGUGAGUAACGCGUGAGGAGCCUGCCUCAAAGAGGGGGACAACAGUUGGAAACGACUGCUAAUACCGCAUAAGCCCACGGCUCGGCAUCGAGCAGAGGGAAAAGGAGCAAUCCGCUUUGAGAUGGCCUCGCGUCCGAUUAGCUAGUUGGUGAGGUAACGGCCCACCAAGGCGACGAUCGGUAGCCGGACUGAGAGGUUGAACGGCCACAUUGGGACUGAGACACGGCCCAGACUCCUACGGGAGGCAGCAGUGGGGAAUAUUGCACAAUGGGGGAAACCCUGAUGCAGCGACGCCGCGUGGAGGAAGAAGGUCUUCGGAUUGUAAACUCCUGUUGUUGAGGAAGAUAAUGACGGUACUCAACAAGGAAGUGACGGCUAACUACGUGCCAGCAGCCGCGGUAAAACGUAGGUCACAAGCGUUGUCCGGAAUUACUGGGUGUAAAGGGAGCGCAGGCGGGAAGACAAGUUGGAAGUGAAAUCCAUGGGCUCAACCCAUGAACUGCUUUCAAAACUGUUUUUCUUGAGUAGUGCAGAGGUAGGCGGAAUUCCCGGUGUAGCGGUGGAAUGCGUAGAUAUCGGGAGGAACACCAGUGGCGAAGGCGGCCUACUGGGCACCAACUGACGCUGAGGCUCGAAAGUGUGGGUAGCAAACAGGAUUAGAUACCCUGGUAGUCCACACUGUAAACGAUGAUUACUAGGUGUUGGAGGAUUGACCCCUUCAGUGCCGCAGUUAACACAAUAAGUAAUCCACCUGGGGAGUACGACCGCAAGGUUGAAACUCAAAGGAGUUGACGGGGGCCCGCACAAGCAGUGGAGUAUGUGGUUUAAUUCGACGCAACGCGAAGAACCUUACCAAGUCUUGACAUCCUGCGACGCACAUAGAAAUAUGUGUUUCCUUCGGGACGCAGAGACAGGUGGUGCAUGGUUGUCGUCAGCUCGUGUCGUGAGAUGUUGGGUUAAGUCCCGCAACGAGCGCAACCCUUAUGGUCAGUUACUACGCAAGAGGACUCUGGCCAGACUGCCGUUGACAAAACGGAGGAAGGUGGGGAUGACGUCAAAUCAUCAUGCCCUUUAUGACUUGGGCUACACACGUACUACAAUGGCGUUAAACAAAGAGAGGCAAGACCGCGAGGUGGAGCAAAACUCAGAAACAACGUCCCAGUUCGGACUGCAGGCUGCAACUCGCCUGCACGAAGUCGGAAUUGCUAGUAAUCGCAGAUCAGCAUGCUGCGGUGAAUACGUUCCCGGGCCUU
rnacentral:rRNA from 1 species